GACGAACGCUGGCGGCGUGCUUAACACAUGCAAGUCGAACGGAAAGGCCCUGCUUGCAGGGUGCUCGAGUGGCGAACGGGUGAGUAACACGUGGGUGAUCUGCCCCUUACUUUGGGAUAAGCCUGGGAAACUGGGUCUAAUACUGGAUAGGACCAUGCUGUAGGUGGUGUGGUGGAAAGAUUAGUUUCGGUAAGGGAUGAGCUCGCGGCCUAUCAGCUUGUUGGUGGGGUAAUGGCCUACCAAGGCGUCGACGGGUAGCCGGCCUGAGAGGGUGGACGGCAACAUUGGGACGGAGAUACGGCCCAGACUCCUACGGGAGGCAGCAGUGGGGAAUAUUGCACAAUGGGAGCAAGCCUGAUGCAGCGACGCCGCGUGGGGGAUGACGGCCUUCGGGUUGUAAACUCCUUUCAGCCAUGACGAAGCCCUUGUGGUGACGGUAGUGGUAGAAGAAGCACCGGCUAACUACGUG
rnacentral:rRNA from 1 species